rnacentral:misc_RNA from 1 species
AUUCUGUUGUCAGGAAACAAGAAAAGCCAUGUAUUCCAAGUGGACUUCCUCCUAUAAUUGAGAAUGUUCUUCUUGGUUGCUUUGAAUAUGACUUAAGGAGUCGUCCUUUGGUGACAGACAUAUUAAAUGUGUUCCAGAGCUCUCAACAUGUUAAUAGCGACUGGCAAGCCAUUGGGAGUUCAAAAAUGUUGAACAAAUCAAGUGCCACUGGACAUACUGAAUGGUUUCUCUCAAAGGAUCACUUGCAAGAG